GUGGGGAAUAUUGGGCAAUGGGGGAAACCCUGACCCAGCGACGCCGCGUGAGGGAAGAAGGCCUUAGGGUCGUAAACCUCUGUUGUGUGGGAAGAAGAGCGUGACGGUACCACACGAGGAAGUCCCGGCUAACUACGUGCCAGCAGCCGCGGUAAUACGUAGGGGACGAGCGUUGUCCGGAUUUACUGGGCGUAAAGGGCGCGUAGGCGGUCAUUUAAGUCAGCUGUGAAAUGGUUUGGCUUAACCGGAUCAUGCGGUUGAAACUGGAUGACUGGAGUGCUGGAGAGGCAAGUGGAAUUCCCAGUGUAGCGGUGAAAUGCGUAGAUAUUGGGAAGAACACCGGUGGCGAAGGCGACUUGCUGGCCAGCAACUGACGCUGAGGCACGAAAGCCAGGGGAGCAAACGGGAUUAGAAACCCCUGUAGUCC
rnacentral:rRNA from 1 species